rnacentral:rRNA from 1 species
GCAGAUAGUAACACCUGAUUGACUUUCUCUGGGCUGGACAGUGAAAGACGUUUGGGCCUAAUUAGUACUUGGAAGGGAGAUCUCCAGAGAACAGGAGGGCAAUAAGCU